rnacentral:rRNA from 1 species
CCACGGGCGGCAGCAGUGGGGAAUAUUGGACAAUGGGGGAAACCCUGAUCCAGCGACGCCGCGUGAGUGAAGAAGUAUUUCGGUACGUAAAGCUCUAUCAGCAGGAAAGAAAAUGACGGUACCUGACUAAGAAGCCCCGGCUAACUACGUGCCAGCAGCCGCAGUAAUACGUUGGGGGAAAGCGUUAUCCGGAUUUACUGGGGGUAAAGGAAGCUUAGAAGGCGCCGCAAGUCUGGAUUGAAAUGCCGGGGCCCAACCCCGGAACUGCUCGGGAAACUGUGAAGCUGGAGUGCAGGAGAGGUAAGCGGAAUUCCUGGUGUAGCGGUGAAAUGCGGAGAUAUCAGGAGGAACACCGGCGGCGAAGGCGGCUUACUGGACUGUAACUGACGUUGAGGCUCGAAGGCGUGGGGAGCAAACAGGAUUAGAUACCCCAGUAGUC